GUCCACGCAGUAAACGAUGGAUGCUAGCUGUCCGGGGGAUCGACCCCUGGGGGCACAGCGAAAGCGUUAAGCAUCCCACCUGGGGAGUACGCCGGCAACGGUGAAACUCAAAGGAAUUGACGGGGGCCCGCACAAGCGGAGGAACAUGUGGUUUAAUUCGAUGAUACGCGAGGAACCUUACCCGGGCUCAAACGCAGGGGGAACGACUUUGAAAGGAGGAGGCCCAUAUGGGCUCCCUGCGAGGUGCUGCAUGGUUGUCGU
rnacentral:rRNA from 1 species